rnacentral:rRNA from 1 species
CAGCAGCCGCCGCGGUAAUACGUAGGGUGCAAGCGUUAAUCGGAAUUACUGGGCGUAAAGCGUGCGCAGGCGGUUCGUUAAGACAGAUGUGAAAUCCCCGGGCUUAACCUGGGAACUGCAUUUGUGACUGGCGGGCUAGAGUAUGGCAGAGGGGGGUAGAAUUCCACGUGUAGCAGUGAAAUGCGUAGAGAUGUGGAGGAAUACCGAUGGCGAAGGCAGCCCCCUGGGCCAAUACUGACGCUCAUGCACGAAAGCGUGGGGAGCAAACAGGAUUAGAUACCCCUGUAGUCCCUGUCUCUUAUAC